rnacentral:rRNA from 1 species
CGGGGAAUAUUGGACAAUGGGCGCAAGCCUGAUCCAGCCAUGCCGCGUGUGUGAAGAAGGCCUUUUGGUUGUAAAGCACUUUAAGCGAGGAGGAGGCUACUUGGAUUAAUACUCUAGGAUAGUGGACGUUACUCGCAGAAUAAGCACCGGCUAACUCUGUGCCAGCAGCCGCGGUAAUACAGAGGGUGCGAGCGUUAAUCGGAUUUACUGGGCGUAAAGCGUGCGUAGGCGGCUUCUUAAGUCGGAUGUGAAAUCCCUGAGCUUAACUUAGGAAUUGCAUUCGAUACUGGGAAGCUAGAGUAUGGGAGAGGAUGGUAGAAUUCCAGGUGUAGCGGUGAAAUGCGUAGAGAUCUGGAGGAAUACCGAUGGCGAAGGCAGCCAUCUGGCCUAAUACUGACGCUGAGGUACGAUAGCAUGGGGAGCAAACAGG